AAAGGGAACACGGUGAGACCUGCUUCGGGUCGAGGCCGUGGCUGCCCCCGCAACUGUGAGCGGCGAGCUCCAUCCGAAACGCCACUGGCCGGCAAGGCUGGGAAGGCGGAUGGCGCGACGACCCGCGAGCCAGGAGACCUGCCAUCGACACGAGU
rnacentral:misc_RNA from 1 species